rnacentral:lncRNA from 1 species
UGAAUGCGUGUGCAGUUUGCAACAUAAUCCUCAAGCCCGGAUCAGCAAGGUUAGAACAUCUAACUUGUAAGGUAAUAGAUCUGAUCUAUUGUUUAAUACAUACAUUCGAUGUAGUAUAGAAACAUAUUGAUAUAAUCAACAUGUAGUUCAUGCUUUAUAUAUUUUAAUUUUUGAUUUAAUGCUAUGUAAUAGUUAUGUAAUAGGAUCUUAGAUCUAGAGAUUCUCUGAUUUUAAAAAAUAAAUUUUGAUUUAUUUUAGUCUUUUGCUGCCUGAUCUUGAAAAAGUUUCAAGAUCUAACCCUGAAAUCCUAGAUCUAGUUCCUACACAGUGAUCUUCUCGAUGCUGUAGUUGUGUGAAUGGUCCCUAGACCUAUGAUGGCACGGCUGCUUGCAGUGAGAUUGCUGAAGUUUGACUGACACAUAAACAUAGUCUCAAUAAGGCCUUGUAGUAGAUGUUGGCAAUAGUUGGUCCACUAUAAAAGUAGGAUGCGCAUCUAGAUGGAAUCUAUCGAUCUUGAUAGAGAGUAAUCCUAUAAAAUUUGAAAGAUUAAGUUCGAAAGUCUGUGGCCAUAGCAGUAUGAUUGAUAGAAAAGAGUUUCCAUGUGGAUCAUAAUUGAACUUGAGCU